rnacentral:rRNA from 1 species
AAUAGUUGAUUGARAGGAUGAUCAGCCACAUUGGGAUUGAGMCACGGCCCAAAUUCUUACGGGAGGCAGCAGUGGGGAAUCYUGCMCAAUGGAGGAAACUCUGAUGCAGCGAUGCCGCCUGAGUGAAGAAGGCCCUUGGGUUGUAAAGCUCWUUCGUCGGGGAAGAAAAUGACUGUACCCGAAUAAGAAGGUCCGGCUAACUUCGUGCCAGCAGCCGCGGUAAUACGAAGGGACCUAGCGUAGUUCGGAAUUACUGGGCUUAAAGAGUUCGUAGGUGGUUGAAAAAGUUAGUGGUGAAAUCCCAGAGCUUAACUCUGGAACUGCCAUUAAAACUUUUCAGCUAGAGUAUGAUAGWGGAAAGCAGAAUUUCUAGUGUAGAGGUGAAAUUCGUAGAUAUUAGAAAGAAUACCAAUUGCGAAGGCAGCUUUCUGGAUCAUUACUGACACUGAGGAACGAAAGCAUGKGUAGCGAAGAGGAUUAGAUACCCUCGUAGUCCAUGCCGUAAMCGAUGUGUGUUAGACGUUGGAAAUUUAUUYUCAGUGUCGCAGGGAAACCKAUAAACACACCGCCUGGGGAGUACGACCGCAAGGUUAAAACUCAAAUGAAUUGACGGGGACCCGCACAAGUAGUGGAGCAUGUGGUUUAAUUCGRAGAUACGCGCAGAACCUUACCAACACUUGACAUGUUCGUCGCGACUCUAAGAGAUUAGAGUKUUCGGUUCGGCCGGACGAAACACASGUGCUGCAUGGCUGUCGUCAGCUCGUGUCGUGAGAUGUUGGGUUAAGUCCYGCAWCGAGCGCAACCCUCACUUYUAGUYGCCAUCAUUAAGUUGGGCACUCUGAAAGAACYGCCAGUGAUAAGCUGGAGGAAGGUGGGGAUGACGUCAAGUCCUCAUGGCCCUUACGUGUUGGGCUACACACGUGCUACAAUGGUAUCUACAACAGGAAGCAAGACUGCGAAGUUAAGCAAAUCCCUAAAAGAUACCUCAGUUCGGAUYGCACUCUGCAACUCGAGUGCAUGAAGCUGGAAUUACUAGUAAUCGUGGAUCAGGCGUGCCAUCGGUGAAUGCGUUCCCGGGUCUUGUACACACCGCCCGUCACACCAUGGGAGUYGGUUCUACCUUAAGGCAAG